UCUUCCCGCCUCGCCCAUCUCUCUCUAAGGCUCUCACCACCGCCGUGUCUCCGUCUCCGCCGCUCUCACCCCGAUCUAUCUGUCCGUCUCUCCGGGGCCACUGGGCUAAACUGAGGAAUUGGGAUCAUCUCAAUCUGCAGUCUCGUAAUAUUACUUAUAUAAGAGCUCGUAUGCAGUGAGCUGACCUAGCUGCUGCGUCUGCUGCUGUGCUAUACGAUGCUGAUUAUCCCAAGGUAACAUUUUAAAGUACAUUGCGGGUAGACUUCUCAACAAGACAAGUGCAUCAUGGUUGCGGGACGAUCAAAAGGACUGUUGUAGACAAUAUGAGGUUAGGGAAUCUGAUUUAUACGGAGUCUGCUGAAGGGACCUAACCCAAGGAUGGACUUUUGUGUGCGGAAACGACCAAACACAAGGAAUUGCUAGCAUACUGUUGAACAGAAUGGUGUUGGUUUCUUUAUUUUUGCUCACAAUCGUUUAACGUAUGAUCAGUUUAAUGAGCUGGUAACAUUACAUUAUCAGUAUGGUCAUUAUUUUUCUACCUAUUACCAAAUAUUUUACUUAAUCUAGACUGGAAGUGGCACCUGUGAACACCGGUUCCCAUGAUCGUGGAAUGCAAAGUACAUGCUGUAUCCUUUUCUUGGCCAGCUUUUUUUGCACUCAAACCCCCUGUCCAGUAGAUGUUGCUUUUUUAUCAAAUGAGAUACCACUGUUAUUCUCCAACUGUAAUUGGAGUAUGUUAUUUCUGUCAUGGCUAAUUUAACCACUGACGAUUUAUACUCUUAUGAUUGAAAGUGCUUUUUGUUUUUUACCAUUUAUAAUCUGCUGAUUGAAAGUGCUUUUGUUUGUUUGUUUUUUA